AACGAACGCUGGCGGCGUGGAUAAGACAUGCAAGUCGAACGGGAUUACUUUUGGUAGCAAUACCGAAAGUAAUUCAGUGGCGAACGGGUGCGUAACACGUGGGCAAUCUGCCGAAAAGUAGGGGGAGUAGCUCGCCGAAAGGACGAAUUAAUACGCAUGUGGUGAGGACGGACAUCUUCCUGAAUCCAAAGACCGGGGCGAACCUGGCGCUUUUUGUAGGAGCCCGCCGG
rnacentral:rRNA from 1 species